CUCUCCUCCUCACACUCUAUGACCGUGGGUGACUCCCACUCAAAACCACAGCCCUCAACUCCACUUGCUGGUCUGCUCAAGUCUCAACACACCCUCAGAUUUAGUGACGUCAUAAAGCCUCGCGGCUUCAGUCUCUAUUGUCACACAGCCUGGCCACGGUAUAAACUCGACACUCGGUCUCUCUUGCCCAAAGGAUGGCAAUUUGACUACCAAAUCAAUCCUCACUGAUCUUGACAAAGGGUGCCAACACGUGGGCAAAUGGUCUGAAUCACUCUCUGUCCUCACCCUUCCCUCUGUACCUCAUGCUAUGUUCACCAGGUUCUCCUGACAAAAGGCAAAUCCCCUCCUGCAGCUGACCAGGACCCGGAGCCCUCUGCUUCUACUCUUUUUGACCUUGAUACAGAGGAUGUGGCCACACCCUGGCACCUCUUCAGCCUAACGCUCUCCCUCAGCCUCAACCUCAUCCUCCUGCCCCCUCUCAGCUGGUUCCCGGCCACCAUCCUAACUCCCCUCAACUACACUCUCCUCAUCACCUCCCGCAGCUCACAUCUGCUCCCACACUGAUGGCCUUUACCCACUAAGGGAAGUGGCAGGUCCUAAUGGCCUCCUCCAUGUACAUGUCGCUUUUUCUAUGGCUGACCUCUCCCAGGGAGAAAGGCGCCCUGGUUCUUUCUCUGCCAACCCUUCUAACGCCACCAAAGAGUUCAGGUGCCUUACUCAAACCUAUGGCCUCCCCUGGUAUGACCUCUAUAUUAUUCUUUCCUCUACUCUCAUCCCUGAGGAAAAGGAGAGAGAAGGUCUGGUUGGCUGUUCAAACCCACACAGGUGAGAUUCCCCCACAGACUCAGUUCCCUGGACAGACUCCCACUGGAAGUACCAGGUUAAUUCAGAGAAUCAGUCCCCAGGCAGGGUAGCCGAAGGCAAAAUGUUUCUUUGCCUCCUGGCUGGCCUUCAAAGAGCCCGUCACAAGGUAACUAAUUUUGAUAAAUUGAAGGAGGUCACCCAGAGGCUGGAUGGAAAUAAUUCUGCCAAGCUCCUCACCCAACUUACAGAGGCCCUCCUUCUGAACGCAAAGCUAGAGCCUAAUUUUUAAGAGGGCAUGCUCGGCCUCAAUUCCUACUUUCUCUGCCAGUCAGCUCCUGUUGUUAGAAAGAAACUCAAAAGGCUGAAUGGCAGCUCUCAAACUCCCCAGAGAUAUCUGUUGAAUGUGGCAUCUAAGGGAGGAGCAGGAAAAGAUAAAGCUGCUCAUGACAGAGAGACGUGCCAGCUCCUGUCAGCUGCCUUAAGAUCCCCUCCUCCAAAGAUGAUGGGGCCCUGAAGAGCGAGCUCCACCUGGAGCUUGCUUCAAAUGUGGCAAAGCCGACCAUGGGGUGAAAAUCUGCCCUUCACCUCCCUGCCACUGGGACCCUCUCCAAACUGGGGACAAGCAAGACACUGGGGAGUUGAUUGCCCCACUUCACCUAGACAGGGGAGGCCAGUCCCCCAGGUUCCUCCUCCACAGGAAAGUCUUGCUGGAUCUUCAGGGCCUGGCAGCCAAAGACUGAUUGUGCCCUGGAACCUCUGCCCCCAGUGCAGAGGGUAAUUCCUCCACGGUAAUCUGGAUUUCAGUAUGCAGAUAGAAGCCAGGACCUCAUGUGUGUUGGACCAACUGUCUACCACUGAGCUACACCCAUAACUUGCUAAAUUUGUAUAAAAAGGAAAAGCUGCAAAAGUGGGAGGAAAAAAAGUACUAUGCAUGCAAUUGGUAUCAGAACUGCCUGGAGUGGAGAAGAGCACCAAAGUGAGAAGAGGGUGUCAGAUCCCCUGAGACGGAGUUACAGAUGGUCGGAAGCUGUCAUGGAUGCUGGGAAUCAAAUCCACGUCCUCUGGAAAAGCAGCCAUGGAGCCAUCUCUCCAGCCCCUGUACUAUUUCCUGUUUCACAUUCCUCACCUGCACCACCACCCACCUCUUCACUUCCACAGGGCGAUGGAAACUGUUAGUUCAGGGGCACCUCUCUCUCUCUCCUCACCCUCCUUUCUGUCCUUGCUCUCUGCCACAGGCUAAGUGUUUGGGUCCGGGGUGGGCCUCAAACUCUUCUCCCACAGGAUGGGAAGUUAGCCAAGCUUUGGAGGAUAAAGGGUGACCCCGGCCAGCAGCUGGCCUGCCCACACCCUAGACCUUCCCUUCUGCCAGCCAGCACUCACACAGCCUUCUUUCCUGGAGCAUGUAGACGGGGUGAGCAAAUCCCUGCAGGAGAUCGGAUCAUAGUUUGGGGAAACAGAUUCUCUCUCUUUCCUUCCUUUCCUCUUCCUUCUCAGGGCUACGGCAUCCCAUAACUAGAAUGUGUGGGGCCCUUCUCCCCAUUCUACUGAUGUUAGUUGAACUAUGCCAUGGUGGAAAA